UACAGAGGUCCCAAGCGUUGUUCGGAUUCACUGGGCGUAAAGGGUGCGUAGGUGGGAAGGUAAGUCAGUGGUGAAAUCCCCGAGCUUAACUUGGGAACUGCCAUUGAUACUAUCUUUCUUGAAUACCUUGGAGGUGAGCGGAAUAUGUCAUGUAGCGGUGAAAUGCUUAGAUAUGACAUAGAACACCAAUUGCGAAGGCAGCUCACUACACGGUCAUUGACACUGAGGCACGAAAGCGUGGGGAUCAAACAGG
rnacentral:rRNA from 1 species